AUCGAAGUGUUUUUUUUGUUUCAUCCUAUUUUCCCUAUUUGUUUGUCAUUAUUUAUUUUCCGUUGAAUCAUUCUCUCCUUCAAUGGAAAAAUCGAGGGCAUCAUAUUUGCAAGCCUUUUAACCUUACCUAGCUGCUCAUGCUGAAGUUCACAACUGUACUAGACAACAUAUGAGAUGUACUUACUAGUAGAUAAAACAAAUUAGGACCGAACAUUGAAGGAUUCCAGAAAUAAUGGACUGAAAUUAUUAAAUAUACAGUACUUUACUUUAUAAUUAAUACAAUAUCUUGCUUAGCGUCUUGGUCAUAUAGUCUUAUAUCUGAAGUCCCUUUUUUCUUCUAAAAGGAGUUUCGUGAAGAAGGAGACAGAAUUGAGGAGUACUUCAGGAAGUUUUCUAAUGGCGGCACCUUGCACAUGGGGUUAGCAACAAUAUUUCGAGGUUAUAUUUGCAUGAUCGCUAAAAAUUCUGUGAGGCUGGCUUCUAUUGUCAUGGGUAAGCCAGGCAUAAUUUCUGAAGAUGCACGUCUCACCACACUGAUGACUCCAAGAAAGGGAGAAA